rnacentral:rRNA from 1 species
GUCAGCUUGAGUGCAUGAGAGGAAAGCGGAAUUCCUAGUGUAGCGGUGAAAUGCGUAGAUAUUAGGAGGAACACCCGUGGCGAAGGCGGCUUUCUGGACUGUAACUGACGCUGAGGCACGAAAGCGUGGGGAGCAAACAGGAUUAGAUACCCUGGUAGUCCACGCUGUAAACGAUGAAUACUAGGUGUCGGGGGUCAAAGCCCGGUGCCGCAGCUAACGCAUUAAGUAUUCCGCCUGGGGAGUACCGUCGCAAGACUGAAACUCAAACGAAUUGACGGGGACCCGCACAAGCAGCGGAGCAUGUGGUUUAAUUCGAAGCAACGCGAAGAACCUUACCAGGUCUUGACAUCCCUCUGAAUGGCGCUUAGCAGCGCAGGUCUUUCGGGACAGGGGAGACAGGUGGUGCAUGGUUGUCGUCAGCUCGUGUCGUGAGAUGUUGGGUUAAGUCCCGCAACGAGCGCAACCCUUGCCUUUAGUUGCCAGCACAUCAUGGUGGGCACUCUAGAGGGACUGCCGGUGACAAACCGGAGGAAGGGGGGAUGACGUCAAAUCAUCAUGCCCCUUAUGAUCUGGGCUACACACGUGCUACAAUGGCCGGUACAACGAGAAGCGAAACCGCGAGGUGAAGCAAAUCUUUUAAAGC